rnacentral:rRNA from 1 species
CUAAGCGAAAGUGAUAAGUAUCCCACCUGGGGAGUACGUUCGCAAGAAUGAAACUCAAAGGAAUUGACGGGGGCCCGCACAAGCGGUGGAGCAUGUGGGUUAAUAGGAUGAUACGCCAAGAACCUUACCAGGGCUUGACAUGGACGGGACACCCUAUGAAAGUAGGUCUCCUGGGCAACCAGGUCCGUUCACAGAUGGUGCAUGGUUGUCGUCAGCUCGUGCCGUGAGGUGUUGGGUUAAGUCCCGCAACGAGCGCAACCCUCGCUAGCUGUUGCCAUCGGGUUAUGCCGGGCACUCUGUAGGAACUGCCUGAGUAAUCAGGAGGAAGGAGAGGACGACGUCAAAUCUG